UCUCCGUUGGUGAACCAGCGGAGGGAUCAUUACCGAGUUGUACCAACUCCCAAACCCCUGUUAACAUACCGCACGUUGCUUCGGCGGACCGCCCCGGCGCCCGACCCCCCCCUCCGCCGACGGCCCGGACCCAGGCGCCCGCCCGGGGAGCCAAACCUCGCCUUUGCUUUUAGUGGAAUAUCCCUCUUAUUACAGAAGACAAACGAAUCACAACUUUCAACAACGGAUCUCUUGGUUCUG
rnacentral:misc_RNA from 1 species